AUUGAACGCUGGCGGCAUGCCUUACACAUGCAAGUCGAACGGUAACAGGUCUUCGGAUGCUGACGAGUGGCGAACGGGUGAGUAAUACAUCGGAACGUGCCCGAUCGUGGGGGAUAACGGAGCGAAAGCUUUGCUAAUACCGCAUACGAUCUACGGAUGAAAGCAGGGGACCGCAAGGCCUUGCGCGGACGGAGCGGCCGAUGGCAGAUUAGGUAGUUGGUGGGAUAAAAGCUUACCAAGCCGACGAUCUGUAGCUGGUCUGAGAGGACGACCAGCCACACUGGGACUGAGACACGGCCCAGACUCCUACGGGAGGCAGCAGUGGGGAAUUUUGGACAAUGGGCGCAAGCCUGAUCCAGCCAUGCCGCGUGCAGGAUGAAGGCCUUCGGGUUGUAAACUGCUUUUGUACGGAACGAAAAGACUCUUUCUAAUAAAGAGGGUCCAUGACGGUACCGUAAGAAUAAGCACCGGCUAACUACGUG
rnacentral:rRNA from 1 species